rnacentral:tRNA from 1 species
GUCCGAGAGGGGACUUGAACCCCUACAGGCUAUGCGCCCACAAGGCCCUCAACCUUGCGCGUCUACCAGUUCCGCCACUCGGAC